rnacentral:misc_RNA from 1 species
GGGAAUAUGAGUGGUGGUGAAAGGGGAAAUAAUUAUGAUAAUUUUCCUAUUGGUAUGAGAGUUCUUGCUGUUGAUGAUGACCCUAUUUGUUUGAAGCUUUUGGAUGGUUUGCUCAGGAAAUGCCAGUAUCAGGUAACUACAACAAGUCAGGCAAGGAUGGCAUUGAAGAUGUUGAGGGAGAAUAGAGAUAGAUUUGAUUUGGUCAUCAGUGAUGUUCACAUGCCUGAUAUGGAUGGCUUUAAACUUCUUGAACUUGUUGGUCUUGAGAUGGAUCUUCCAGUCAUAAUGUUGUCUGCAAACA